GAGAUGCUAGGAAUUCAGCUGUGGAAGUUCAGCUCUCAAGAAGCUCACAUCUAGGGUGCGGAGUUAGAGAAAUCAGACCGGCACAUGAUACAGAAGGGACUAGGUGCUAUGGAGAGACGUGAGCUGGGGAGGGGAUAGCCUGUGUUGGGGUGGAGGCUGCUGCUUUAGAGAGAUGAGGGAAGGCCACUGGAAUCUGAUGCUGAGCAGAGAUCAGGGAUUUUAUAUAAGGGAAGUGAGGGAGUGAGUCGUGGCCACCUGAGGAGAGCAUUCCAGGAUAAGGAAACAGCAGGUGCAAAGGCACUGCUGCAGGGAGGUGCUUGGUAUAUCCAGGGAGUGUGGAGAAGUCCCGUGUGGUGGCUGCAGAGGGAGCAGGGGGAGGAUGGUGGGAGGUGAGAAUGGAGACCUCUGAGGUAGGUCCUCGAGAGCCUUAGAGGCCACGCGAAUUGCAUGGGACCCACUGGAGGGAGCCAUUCCCAGAGCCAUGACAGGUUGGGACCUGCCUGCAAAGGACCACAUUCUGGCCGUGGGGAAGGGCAGAAGCAGGAGACCAAUUUGGAGGCUGGGACCUGGGGCCUGGGGCCUAGGACAGGCAUGGUGAGCAGUGGUCAGUUUCUGAAUCCAUUCUCAGGGUAGACACAAUAGGACUGGUGAUUGAUUGAAUAUGAGAUGUGAGACAAAGACAAAUGCCAAGGACGGCUCCAAGGGUUUUUCCUGAACAGCUGCCAGGAUGAAGUUGGCAUUUAUUUAGGUGGAGGAAGAAAGGAAGGAGCAGGUUUGGGAGCUGGAGAUAGAGAUUCGUUUUUGAAAGUGUUAAUUUGAGAUGUUCAAUUAGACACAGAGUGGAGAUGCCAAAUAGACAAUUAUACAGGAGUCUGGUGCUGAGUGUUGAGGUCUGGGAUGGAGACAUCACCCUGAGGGUCCUUGGCAUUUAAAUGCUGUUUAAAACCAGGAGGCUAGAUGAGCUCACCAAGGGAGAGGGAAGGGAUAGAAGAGGGAGAGGGUCUGAGGACUCAGCCCUGGAGCAUAGAUAAUUAACAGGCAGAUGGGGAGAAACUGGGAGAGGGGACUGAGAAGGAACAGCAGGCAAGAGAAAGAGGGCUAAGGGAGAGCCAUGACCUACAAUCAGGUCAAGAAGCAUUUCUACAGGAGAGAUUUAUGCUGCCGAUCUUCCAAUAGAUCAAGUAGCGUGGAGACCACUGAGACCCAGCCACUGGAGACCAUUAGCCUAGGGAGGUCAUUGGUGUCCUUGCCAAGCCCUGUUUUGGUUCUGGGUCCAGGAGACAGAGUGUAGUCAGAGGAGAGGAAUCACAGACAGCCCAGUGCAGACAACAGGCAACUCUUUCAAGGAGUCAUCUUAUAAAGCAACUAGAACAGUACCUGGCAGACACAAGACACGUAAUACAUAUUUUUGAAUGAGGAACUUGGCUCCAGAAGCCAUGAGAAUAACUUUGUUCCAACACAUUCAGGCUGCGGUCAGAAAGGGUGAGCUGGAAGCAGUGAGCUGGGAGAUAAUGAAACCAAAACACCAUUAUCAGGAAGCUUGAGAACAAGGCCACCUUUUAAGUAUCUAGAAAUUCCCAUUAAUUUCUUCCACACCUUGUUCCCCAUCCCACCUGAAGACUGAAGCUGAGAGGCUUUUUUCCCAGUCAUCUUGACCACAAGAUCAGUUCUCUCCGUGAACAUAAAGACAAAAUCGCUGUGACACCAACAGACAGAUUUUUUAACAAGUGGAAUCCAUGUCUCAUGUAAACAAUGUGCUACUGCCUGCCAUUGAGUUCUCUUCCCUCGUUUUCCUUUUUGAAGACUUAACCCCUUUCCCAAAGGGACAUGUGCUCAGGUUUCUUGACUCCACAGCAAUCCCUUCUGUUGUGUAAGGCAAACUGAUCACCUUUCACAACGAGACAAGAAGUGAUUUAAAUCAGAUGGUGACCCAAUGACAAUGUCUGUGCUGUGUCCUAUGGAGAAAACCAAAGCUGAAAUCCAGUAACAGGUGAUAGGAAGAUGUGGAGAUAGAAACUGACCUGAAUUCUGAAAAACAACAAGAGAAAAGGAAGUCUGAGAACAAGCUGGUGUUCUUCCAAAACCUGUUCAUUGUGUGAAUUCCUAGAAGAUAGCGUGACACCGAGAAACAGGCUGGAGUGACACACCCAAACAAUUAUGCUACCUGGAUCUGCCAAGGCAGGAGGACAAACUCAGCAGCCUGGAGAAUGGAGGACACAGUCCAGAGUUGUUCUUCUCACCUGAAGAACGUUGGGAAGACCUUAAUUGGAAUCACAAGAAUUGGGUGUAAACUUUGGCUCCACAUUCACUAUCUGUGGGACAUUCAUUAUCUGUGGGCUUCAUCUGUAAAUGGGUGGGCUGUCUUUGGGUAGGUCACCCAGUUGAAACAAUGGACUCCAAGGGUUUUAUUACCUCCUAAGUGUUGAAUAGGAUUAUUGUGUGUCUCCUUGACUUAAUUAGUCCAAUUUUCUACCUCAGGUAGCACAACCAUCACUUCUCAAUUUCGUAUUCUAUUUCUUUUAGGAAGAGUCAAUGCUCAAGAUCUGUGAGAAACUGAAGCAUGUUUGCCUGUUUUUCUCAAUAUAUGCACGUUCUGUAUAUCUCAGUUCUAAAGAACUAAAGGUAAACUCUAAUACGAGCAGUAGGAAAUGGCCAGAUAGGAGGAAUGUGCACAGUGACCUUGGGCAAAUGUCUGAAUUCUAAGGCCUUGUUUUCCUCCUCCACAACACGAGUAAAUCAGUUUCAAUAAUCUGUUAGGUCCCUUCUGUGUCAGCUUGGAAGUCCCUGCUGGAGGUAAAGGGUGACACUGUUCAAUGCACUGAGAACAGCCAGGAAGAAGCUCAAAUGUGUAAGAAUAGAAAAGGAAGGUUAUGGCCUUUUUACUUGAUUCCACAAUGCAAAGGUAAACAGUCAUGAGAAAGAAAAGAGGUUUAAAAGAAAACAAUAGUGACCUAUCUGCUUUCCCUUUUGGUAAAGUAACUUUCGUAGGGCUGCUUACCAUGCUGUAUAUAUAUUUUUAUUCUUUCUGCCCGUUAUUUACAUACUCAUUCAACAUAUAUUUAUUGAGAAGUUGCAGAGUUCUGCUGACUGUCUCAUCUUCCAUCUUCUAAAGCAAAACAACAACAACAACAACACACAGUUGUGCUAGUUUUUUGGCUUACCUCCUUACAAGGUCAUACUGCUAAAACCCUCACUCUGGCAUGACUAAUCUGACACAUAGUUUGCCUUUGUUCUCCAGAGGUCUAAUGAACAGCUCCCUGUACACCACCAGGUACAGUCUACACUCUUUGAGCUGGCCUUGAGCCCCUUGCCAUCUGAGCUGCCUCCCUUGUUCCUAUUUUAGCUUCCUGCAUGCCCAGGCAGCAAGUGACUUGGCUCCACAAACAGCCUGUUGCUAUGAUCUGCUUCUUCCUCUCAUUCAAACCCUCGAGGCCUCGGGAGGUAGUGUAGCAUGAUGUUAAGAGCAAAGCUGUGAAGUCAGUGAAAGAUGGGUUUUACCUGAAAUCCCAUCAUUAACUGGUUUUGAAAACUCUGCCAAGUUUCCUAAGCCCUCUGAUGUAUGAAAAGACGAUGAUAACCACUUUGCUGAAUUGUCUUAAGGCUAAAAGGAGAUAAAUUAUGUAACUUGUUUGCUUUGAAAAUGGAUUGAUAUUUGCUCAUGAAAUCUCCUUCAGGCGCAUGUCAUGAACCCUAUUCGUGCAGUCCAACUUCUACUCAACUUUCAAAGUUGGGGUUUCAUGCCAUUUUUAUCAUGAAAUGUCCAAAAGCAUGUGCCCCCUCAGUUGGACUCUCUGUUAUGGCCCAUAUUACGUUUUAUCAUGUAUUUUAGAUAUCUAUGUUGUUAGUAUAUGGAAAGUAAACAUCUUAUUUAUCUUUAUUUUGUCACAAAGCCUGGCACAGUUGAUUGCCUAUUUGGUAUGUAGUAGUAAAAAAAUUCUUAUGAAAUGAAUUAGUGAAUGAAUAUACAAUGUAUUAAUAAAUGAUUUUGCUAGUGGUAAAUAUUCCUAUACAUAAGGAGCUAAAGGGGGCAUGCCAGCUGAUCAAUCUUUCUGAAAUAAAACCUUUUGAAAGUC